AAUAUGUUUGGCUCUAAUUUCCUUUGCUUCUUUUCGUCUCUGUCCCUUACCCUUCAUCUCUGUCCCUGCGAUUCCCAGAUCUGCGCUCAUUUUGGCGGCAGCUUUGUACUCCGGCGGCAGCGUUGAUCUUCGACGGUGGAACCGUGUGGCGGUCUCAAUUUGCCGUGAUAUCAGUGUACGAUUAGGACAACCGUUUUUGUUCACCUCUUUUCGGUAAAAUGCAGAAUGAAAGAAGUUGGAUGUAUAACAAGAAUUUAUCUAAUUGAAAAUGGAGCAAGAUAUGAGAGCGUUGCGCCGACAUCAAGAAUUUAUCAUGCGACACCUUCAGUUGACCUCCGCUCAAAGUCAGGUUCCUUCCAAUGACGAUGACGAUGAUGACCAUGAUGAUAACGAUGAUGGUGGUGAUGGUUGUUCCUGAUUUUAAUUAUGGCUUGUGAGACGAAAUGUAUGCCGAAGAAAAAAGAAAAGAAGACUUGAUGGGAUGAAAGCUUUUGUGGAAUAAGAAGAUGACUUGAUGUAUCUUAGUUUGUUUAACUUCUUGGAUUGAUGGACUUGUAUGGAAACUUGUUGGAGUGUUGAACUUGUGAAAUAUUUUUGAGUAGCUUAAAGAACAAAUUAUGGUCUUGUAUGACUUGUUGAGUUUGAAACAUUUGAAUUUGUUGUGAAUAGAUGUAUAUGAAUUAAUUAA